AAAAGAUUUAUCGGUUAGGGAUGGGCAUGCGCCCCAUUAGUUAGUAUGGUUAAGGGUAACGGCUAACCANAGACUGUGAUGGGUAGGGGUUCUGAGAGGAUUAUCCCCCACACUGGUACUGAGACACGGACCAGACUCCUACNGGGAGGCAGCAGUAGGGAAUUUUCCGCAAUGGGCGCAAGCCUGACGGAGCAAGACCGCGUGGGGGAUGACGGCCUAAUGGUUGUAAACCCCUUUUCUCUGGGAAGAAGACUGACGGUACCAGAGGAAUCAGCCUCGGCUAACUCCGUGCCAGCAGCCGCGGUAAUACGGAGGAGGCAAGCGUUAUCCGGAAUUAUUGGGCGUAAAGCGUCCGUAGGUGGUUAUUCAAGUCUGCUGUCAAAGCGUGGGGCUUAACUCCAUAGAGGCAGUGGAAACUGAGUGACUAGAGUGCGGUAGGGGUCGAGGGAAUUCCCAGUGUAGCGGUGAAAUGCGUAGAUAUUGGGAAGAACACCAGUGGCGAAAGCGCUCGACUGGGCCUGCACUGACACUGAGGGACGAAAGCUAGGGGAGCGAAAGGGAUUAGAUACCCCUGUAGUCCUAGCCGUAAACGAUGGAUACUAGGUGUUGCUCGUCAUCGACCCGAGCAGUGCCGUAGCCAACGCGUUAAGUAUCCCGCCUGGGGAGUACGCUCGCAAGAGUGAAACUCACAGGAAUUGACGGGGGCCCGCACAAGCGGUGGAGUAUGU
rnacentral:rRNA from 1 species